rnacentral:rRNA from 1 species
AAGGUUGACCUCGGAUCAGGUAGGAAUACCCGCUGAACUUAAGCAUAUCAAUAAGCGGAGGAAAAGAAACCAACAGGGAUUGCCCUAGUAACGGCGAGUGAAGCGGCAACAGCUCAAAUUUGAAAUCUGGCUUCGGCCCGAGUUGUAAUUUGUAGAGGAUGCUUUUGGCGAGGUGCCUUCUGAGUUCCCUGGAACGGGACGCCAGAGAGGGUGAGAGCCCCGUAUAGUCGGACACCUAGCCUCUGUAAAGCUCCUUCGACGAGUCGAGUAGUUUGGGAAUGCUGCUCAAAAUGGGAGGUAUAUCUCUUCUAAAGCUAAAUAUAGGCCAGAGACCGAUAGCGCACAAGUAGAGUGAUCGAAAGAUGAAAAGCACUUUGAAAAGAGGGUUAAAUAGCACGUGAAAUUGUUGAAAGGGAAGCGCUUGUGACCAGACUUGUGCCGGGCUGAUCAUCCAGUGUUCUCACUGGUGCACUCGACCCGGCUCAGGCCAGCGUCGGUUCUCGCAGGGGGAUAAAAGCUUCGGGAACGUGGCUCCUCCGGGAGUGUUAUAGCCCGUUGCUUAAUACCCUUGCGGGGACCGAGGUUCGCGCUCUGCAAGGACGCUGGCAUAAUGGUCAUCAGCGACCCGUCUUGAAACACGGACCAAGGAGUCGAGGUUUUGCGCGAGUGUUUGGGUGUAAAACCCGCACGCGUAAUGAAAGUGAACGUAGGUGAGAGCUUCGGCGCAUCAUCGACCGAUCCUGAUGUAUUCGGAUGGAUUUGAGUAAGAGCGUAAAGCCUCGGACCCGAAAGAUGGUGAACUAUGCCUGAAUAGGGUGAAGCCAGAGGAAACUCUGGUGGAGGCUCGCAGCGGUUCUGACGUGCAAAUCGAUCGUCAAAUUUGGGCAUGGGGGCGAAAGACUAAUCGAACCAUCUAGUAGCUGGUUACCGCCGAAGUU